rnacentral:misc_RNA from 1 species
ACAGCUACUUUAUGUGUUCGUCGUGCUCUUUAUUAUGAUCCUGAGACUGGAAAGGAGGACCCUUCAAAGAGUGGUAUAUGCAGCAAUUUCCUUUGCAACUCAAAGCCUGGGGAUAAGGUUCAGAUCACUGGACCCUCUGGCAAGAUAAUGCUUUUGCCUGAAGACAACCCUAAUGCCACCCACAUAAUGAUUGCUACUGGUACUGGUGUGGCUCCUUUUAGAGGCUACCUUCGUCGUAUGUUCACAGAGGAUGUCCCUACAUUCAAGUUUGGUGGUCUCGCUUGGCUUUUCCUUGGGGUAGCGAACACUGACAGUCUCCUCUAUGAUGAUGAAUUCACGAAGUUUCUUCAAGACUACCCAGACCACUUCCGCUAUGACAAGGCACUUAGCAGAGAACAAAAGAACAGGAGCGGAGGAAAGAUGUAUGUGCAGGACAAAAUUGAGGAAUACAGCGAUGAAAUCUUCAAACUCUUGGAUGGUGGAGCUCACAUCUACUUCUGUGGGCUCAAGGGAAUGAUGCCCGGAAUCCAAGACACACUGAAGAGAGUCGCAGAGCAGAGAGGAGAAAGCUGGGAGCAGAAGCUCUCACAGCUCAAGAAGAACAAGCAAUGGCACGUGGAGGUGUACUGAUUUCGCAUAUUAUUAAACUCAUUUUUCCCAUUCUUCCAAUGAAAAUUAGCAGUCCGUUCCUGAGUGAACGUAGCAUUUUUCAAUUGUUUUGGUUAGCUUAGCAUGAACUCAGAUUAGCUGUUACAGUUCAUCUGUAUUGUUAAAUAAUGAAAUGAUUCUCAUGAUUAGAACAGAUUAAGAAUCCUUCUGGUUUUAUAGUUGUUAAGAUUCUUGUACUAGGUACCCUAUGAACUGGAGUUGUCUUUGCCUUCACAGGCAUAGUUACCUUU